CGCCUCUUGCACUUCAUAAGAGGUCUAGCCUGCCCAGUGACUUUAUUCAACGGCCGCGGUACACUAACCGUGCAAAGGUAGCAUAAUCACUUGUCUCUUAAAUAGGGACCUGUAUGAACGGCAUCACGAAGAUUUUACUGUCUCCCCUUACCAAUCAGUGAAACUAAUCUCCCUGUGAAAAAGCAGGGGUAUAUAUACAAGACGAGAAGACCCUAUGGAGCUUAAAAUUAGUAACACUUGCUUAUUCUUAUAAACUAUGACCGCCUAGCAUUAUGUUUACACAUUUUCGGUUGGGGUGACCCCGGAGAAAAAUUUAACCUCCAUGCUGUAUAUUAAAGAACCUCAAUUCUAAGAAUCAAUAAACUGACACAUUGACCCAAACACUUGAUCAACGAACUAAGUUACCCUAGGGAUAACAGCGCCAUCCACUUCAAGAGUACAUAUCAACAAGUGGGCUUACGACCUCGAUGUUGGAUCAGGAUUCCCUAGUGGUGCAGCCGCUACUAAAGGUUUGUUUGUUCAACAAUUAAAAUCC
rnacentral:rRNA from 1 species